UAGUUGUAUGAGGAAGUGCUUUCUCAUUGCC
rnacentral:piRNA from 1 species